rnacentral:rRNA from 1 species
AGAGAUGGCCACGCCACCCUGAACAAGCCCGAUCUUGUCUUAUCUCGGAAGCUAAGCAGCGUCGGGCCUGGUUAGUACUUGGAUGGGAGACCACCUAGGAUGACCGGGUGCUGUAGGCA